GGGAGCGCGGGCACGUGUGCAGCAGUUUACUGCGCGCCCCCGAGGGCCGGGGCUUCCCCUUCCCCGCCCCCUUGGCUUUCGCAGUCAAAUCCCGCUCUCCGCCCGCCGCCCGCGGAAGUCUCACCGCGCAGCAGCACCCCCAGCCCGGGCGGUUCCGGGGACCGAAGGGCGCGGCACGUAGGGGGCCCGUAGGAUCCAAACUGCGGAGGAGAAGCAGGAGGAGGGAGGAGGAAGAAGACAAAGGUGUGGAGGAGGAGGGGAGGGAGGAAGAAGGAAGAGAGGCAGAAGACUAGGAAAAAAUGGGCCCGUGGGCGCGGAGGGGGCGCGGCGGGGUAGAGAGGCGCGGACGCUGAGCGAGCCCGGUGCCUCUCGAAAGCCUCACCGGCCGCCCGGCCGGGCCGCGCAGCUCCGCCAACUCCCGGGCCGGCCCAAGCCGGAGCGUGGCGCCCGUCGGGAGGUUGCAGAGUUCCUGGAGCUCACAGCUGAGCCCGAAGGAAGUCGCCCUCGAUGGGCAGGAAGCGGGACCCAGGCACGCCCGCGCGGUCGCGUCCAGAUCUGCCGUCCUCCGACAGGCGCAGGCCUGCUGCGCCUUCGCCACACACCGCCACUCUGGGCCUGGACUCCGUAGUUACGCCGGGAUAUCUCUGGGCAUACAACCACCUCCCCUUCCCCACAGUCUUUUCAUCUCCACCCGACCCCUUGCUAGGAGCAGCUUCUAGUUGCAGCUCAAGACCCGCGAGUUCACCCUCCGCGCCAAGCACCCAACUCCCGGCUCUGCCUACAGUCACCCACAGACCUAAUGAUCGACUAAGCGCCGUAAUGGCCCGAGAUGACACCAGGAGACUCCCUUGCUGUGCGCCUCCGGAAGACGCGGAACGUAGCCCCUUUCUCACACUCCUGGGACACAAAAAUACCCGACAACUCAAAGUCGCCAAACCACAUCUUUUCAUGCUUUGAAGACUUCUGCCCAAGGCUGUGGCAGGAGUAUGUCCAACUGUGAUUUGGGAUUCUUUUUAAACAUCGAAUCAAAGGGAAGAGGGGAGGGAUUCGCAACUAAAUGGUAGUUGUUUUCAAGCAAGUCUUUACGUAGCCCCAAACCUACUCUAGUAUUCGGUGAUUCAGCCCCAAAACAUCUCUGCCUGCCUUUAUGUUCGGAUCUCACUCCAUUAUUUGUCAGCACCAAGUACUAAACCCACAAAGCGAUCGCUGUACGGGACACCAAACCCAUACCUGCCCGUCCCCUACCUUCCAGGCAACCAGUGUCAAUCUCCUCACUAUACAUAAUUCCCAACAUCCCUGCCCGAAGUGAGGAGAACGGUAAUUUAAAUAAUACAGCGGGGGAGGAGAGGACACACUGUUUUUGAAAGACUGUAAGCAUUCUGCUGUUCCACUCUGCGUCCUUACACUUGCUGAGCACUGACACCAAAUUUAAAUGGCGUUCCUUCAAAACUGAUGUAAUUGUAAAGAGCUGUAAAGGGCAAUGACCUCAAGUGGAUGUUUUUUCCCAGGUACCCUACAAGGUUUGCACAAAGCAAGAAAGCAUCAUGUAACCGAAAUGCUGAAAAGUAUAGAUGCUGCAAAACCUCAUUCUGAGACUGAGAACUAUGAAUAGUCAGUGUAUUUCCUUCUGCGGUGCAGAAAAAGAACAACCAAAAAGAAAGCAACAAGGGGAGAUGUUAUUUAUUUUAAUGACACCAAAACUACCAAUCCUAGCAAUUUAAUAAAUUAAAAUCAUAGUCCUUUAAAUGUA
rnacentral:lncRNA from 1 species